rnacentral:rRNA from 1 species
CGCGAAACCUUUACACUGCACGACAGUGCGAUAGGGGAACUCCGAGUGCGAGGGCAUAGAGCCCUCGCUUUUCUGCACCGUAAGGUGGUGCAGGAACAAGUGCUGGGCAAGACCGGUGCCAGCCGCCGCGGUAAUACCGGCAGCACGAGUGAUGGCCGAUCUUAUUGGGCCUAAAGCGUCCGUAGCUGGCCGUGCAAGUCCGUCGGGAAAUCCAGUGGCUCAACCUCUGGGCUUCCGGCGGAAACUGCUCGGCUUGGGACCGGAAGACUCGAGGGGUACGUUCGGGGUAGGAGUGAAAUCCCGUAAUCCUGAACGGACCACCGAUGGCGAAAGCACCUCGAGAGCACGGAUCCGACAGUGAGGGACGAAAGCUAGGGUCUCGAACCGGAUUAGAUACCCGGGUAGUCCUAGCUGUUAACGAUGCCCGCUCGGUUCGGCGCAGGCUACGAGCCUGUGCCGCGCCUCAGUGAAGACGUAAGCGGGCCGCCUGGGAAGUACGUCCGCAAGGAUGAAACUUAAAGGAAUUGGUGGGGGAGCACUACAACCGGAGGAGCCUGCGGUUUAAUUG